UUGAACCACAGCCAUAAGUAUUGUCAGCAACGAAGAAUUCUGUGCUUUCUUAAUUUUUACGAUGAGCAAGUGGGUGAUCUUAGCAAUACUUUUCGUCACGGUAGUUUUGAUUACGGCUCAGGAAGAUAACAAAGAUGAUGCAGGAGAAACAACAUUUAAAGUCCGCUGUUUGCCGAAAGGGAAAUUGUGUCAUUGUUGUCCUGGUCUCGUCUGUCGAUUAGGAAGAUGUCAAUUGGA